rnacentral:rRNA from 1 species
UACGAAGGGGGCAAGCGUUACUCGGAAUUAUUGGGCGUAAAGCGUGCGCAGGCGGCCUCGUAAGUUGGAAGUGAAAGCCUUUGGCUCAACCAAAGAACUGCUUACAAAACUACGAAGCUAGAGUACUAGAAGAGAUAGAAGAAUUCCUGAUGUAGGGGUGAAAUCCAUAGAUAUUGGGAGGAAUAUCAAAAGCGAAAGCAUCUGUCUAGCUUGAUACUGACGCUGUUGCACGAAAGCGUGGGGAGCAAACAGG